rnacentral:rRNA from 1 species
GCGACGUGCCUAAGGUAUGCAAGUCGAAUGCCGAUUUAUCGGCAUGGCAGACGGCUGAGUAACACAUGGGAAUCUACCUCAAACUCGAGAAUAGCCCAUCGAAAGGUGGUGUAAUACUCGAUAGUUCCGUUUACGGUAAAGCUCCGGCGGUUUGAGAUGAGCCCAUGUCCUAUCAGGUUGUUGGUGGGGUAAUUGCCUACCAAGCCUAUGACGGGUAGCUGGUUUGAGAGGAUGAUCAGCCAGACUGGGACUGCGAUACGGCCCAGACUCCUACGGGAGGCAGCAACUAGGAAUCAUGCGCAAUGGACGAAAGUCUGACGCUGCGACGUCGCGUGAGGGAUGAAGGUCUUAGGAUCGUAAACCUCUUUUAUCUGGGAACAAGUUCUGAGUGUACCAGAUGAAUAAGUGCCUGCCAACCACGUGCCAGAAGCAUCGGUAAUGCGUGGGGCACGAGCGUUAUCCGGAUUUACUGGGCGUAAAGAGAUGCGUAGGCGCCUUUUUAAGUCACUUGUAAAAUCUCCCCGCUCAACGGGGAAACUGCAAGUGAUACUGAAUUGGUUGAGUCAAGUAGAGGAGAGGGGAAUUCCUGGUGGAGCGGUUAAAUGCGUUGAUAUCAGGAGGAAUACCAAGUGCGAAGGCACCUCUCUGGACUCGUACUGACGCUAAGGCUCGAAAGUGUGGGGAGCAAAACGGAUUAGAUACCCGUGUAGUCCACACUGUAAACGAUCCCUGCUAGAUGUUUGC